rnacentral:tRNA from 1 species
GCCCGGCUAGCUCAGUCGGUAGAGCAUGAGGCUCUUAAUCUCAGGGUCGUGGGUUCGAGCCCCACGUCGGGCG